ensembl:lncRNA
AUGAGGGCCCACACAAGAACUGUAAUCGAUCCCCGACACCAGAUUCCUCUACAUUCUGAGCCGAUAUACAGAGGUCUGAUGCUGUCAAUUCCCUACUUCUGUUGCAGAGACCCCAGUGAGUUUGCUAGGAUGAAAAUAGCUUUAGAGAAUCUAUUACCCCCAGAUGGGACGGAGCUCUUUAAAUACCAAAUCCUGGUGGAUCACUUGAAAUUGGAAGAGGCAAGGUUGAUAGCAGAUUCAUAUCUGAACUCCCCCAGACCUUACACUGAUACCAUGGCAGCUCUUUAUCUAAAGUUUGGCCAGCCUCAUCAGAUGGCUUUGAAUAAAAUAGCCAGUGUUAUGGACUCACCUGAUAUUCGACGCGGUGAUCAAGCUGCCUUCGAGAAGUUCGCCCUACAGGUCCAAGCACUUGUGGGCAUGCUUAAAUCCCUUGGUCCCCCAGGAGAGAUAGAGCUACAGUGCGGAUCUCACGUAGCACGCUUGCUGAGCAAGUUACCGACAGAGAUGAGAGCUGAGUUCAGGCGCAGUAAGUUUCAUUAUCCAGGAACAACCUAUACUCUCACUGAUCUCUCUGAGUGGCUGCAAUAUGAGUCAUGGUGCCAGGAAUAUGACGGUUCAUUAGCAGUGAAGAUCACUAAGGAGAGACAAUGGCCUAGACAGGAGCCUCGGCAGAAGAGGUGGACCACUACUGUGCUACAUGGAUCUAGAGAGGUGAUGGAGAGAGAAGUUUCACCUGCACAAGUGAAUCCAUCCACUAAGAACAGAACUGCACCUUACUGUCCAUUCUGUAACAACACAGAGCACUUCUUAAGCCAAUGCAAAGAGGUUGUAAAACUGACCACAGAUCAAUUAUCAGAAUGGAUCUGUACCAAUCGAAGGUGCUGGCGAUGUGCUAGAACUCACCAAGCAGCCCAGUGCAAUCUGCAGAAACCUUGCAGCAUUUGUCAAGGUAAACACCUACCAGUGCUGCAUGAAGUUAAUUCCAAAACACCUAAGACUGUGGUCAAGUCAACUAAAGAGGAGAGCUGUCUAGUGAAUACAUCUUCUGAAGUGCUGUAUGUGGACAAACCAGUAGAUGGAAGUCGUGUGCUAUUAAAGGUUAUUAGAGUACUACUCCACCAUGGUAAGCGCACUCUGAGCACUUAUGCUAUCCUGGACGAUGGCUCGGAGCGGACUAUGCUCUUACAAGCAGCAACACACCACCUGGGCCUCCAAGGAGAGCCAAAAGACCUGGCCUUGCAGACUAUACGUCAAGAUAUUCAAGUUCUUCACGGGUCCAAGGUGUCAUUCCGUGUUUCCCCAGCCGAAAAGCCUCAGCACAGCUUUCUCCUCACUGAUGCCUUCACUGCAGACCAUCUUGGUCUUGCACUUCAAUCUUACCCCAUGAACAAAUUACAGAAAAGUUACAAGCACCUUGUGGGCCUCCCAAUACAGGCAUUCGAACAGGCACAGCCCUUGCUGCAAAUUGGAGCAGAUCACCCUCACCUGAUUACUCCUGUUAAGCCAGUAAGGUUAGGACCCCCAGGAGGACCGGCAGCCCUGAAGACACGAUUAGGGUGGACAUUACAGGGUCCCACCCGGCUUGUCGAGCAGUCCACAGCAGUGUUUAUUGACCUCAACAAAUCCCCUAGUGGCAGAGCUUUUCAAGAACGUAGAGAAACUGUGGCAAGUGGACGUACUUCCUAUUAA